rnacentral:rRNA from 1 species
AGUGAACGCUGGCGGUAGGCCUAAUACAUGCAAGUCGAACGACCGCACAGUAAGCGCUCUCUCUUACGGGUGGCGACUGGCGGACGGGUAAGACAUACAUCGGCAACUACUUUUUCGUGGGGGAUAACGUGGGGCCACAUACGCUACUACCGCAUACGUCCUACGGCUGAGAUCAAGAGUUCUUCACACCUUUCGCGACUCAUUUAGCUGAAUCCGCGUCGGAUUAGCUAGUUGGUAAGGUAACGGCUUACCAAGGCGACGAUGCGUAGCCGAGCUGAGAGGGUGAUCGGCCACACUGGAACUGAGACACGGUCCAGACUCCUACGGGAGGCAGCAGUAGGGAAUAUUGGGCAAUGGGCGCAAGCCUGACGCAGCAACACCGCGUGAGUGAAGAAGGCCUUCGGGUCGUAAAGCUCUUUUGUUGGGAAAGAAAAGAAGUAUAAGUAUAUACGCCCGUUUUGACGGUACCCAAAGAGUAAGCCCCGGCUAACUUCGUG